rnacentral:rRNA from 1 species
UACAGAGGGUGCGAGCGUUGUCCGGAAUCACUGGGCGUAAAGGGCGCGUAGGCGGCUUGAUAAGCGUGCGGUGAAAGCCCGGGGCUCAACCCCGGGUCGGCCGUGCGAACUGUCGAGCUGGAGCACUGUAGAGGCAGGUGGAAUUCCGGGUGUAGCGGUGGAAUGCGUAGAGAUCCGGAAGAACACCGGUGGCGAAGGCGGCCUGCUGGGCAGUGGCUGACGCUGAGGCGCGAAGGCGUGGGGAGCGAACGGG